UAAUAGUGUCCUUGUCAGAACAGAUUGUACAAGAACCAUACUCAAAUAUGAAACCUUAUAUACAAAAAGGAACAAAGAAAAAAAGAAGCCAAUUCAUAUUUACUCUUAGAAGCUGAGAAAAGACAUGUACGAUUUAAGCAGCCCAUGAGGAACACUUCUCCAGUACACAAUUUAUUGCUCUAUCAGGCUCUUCUCCCUUCGCUCUGCCCUUCUCUCUCCUGCCACCUUGUGAAGAAGGACAUGCUUGCUUCCACUUCUGUCAUGAUUGUAAGAUUCCCGAGACCCCCCCAGUCACAUGGAACUCCACUGGUGUUGAGAAACUUCCUACAGGUCCAUUGCUGUGGAAUGAAGCAAAAGAGUAUUCUUUCAGGUCCUGCAUACCAGUAAAACUACUGAUGCUAGCUGUUGCCUAGGACCCCAUGAGGAGGUGACUCAACAAAGAAGGCAGUUUUCAGAUCCUGAUGAUUUCAUCCCCCUAACCCUGACCAAUCAACAACCACAAUUUUCUGGACCUACACCUUUCACAAUUCUUUUACAAAAUGCCGCCCAUAACUUCUUUGGGAGACAGACUUGUGGGUCCUUUCCAUCCCCUUACUUGGCUGUCAUAUGAUCAAUAAAUGUUUUCUCUGCUGCGAACACUGUUGUCUCAGUGCAUUUGUCUGUUACUUCACAGCAGGUAUAUAAAUUUGUUAAUCCUCUAACAAUAUCAUUGUGCUGAAUAUAAUUCAGUUUGAUACUCAAGCAAUUAUUAAACAACAUUUUAAAAGGCUUUCCUAAAUAUUUUCACAACUUACUUAAAUUAUCAAAUGGCUAAUAAAAAUAGUCUAUACAAUUUUAU
rnacentral:lncRNA from 1 species